CCUCCGCGAAGGCGCCACCUCUACGUGGUGCGGGGGAGGCAACUGUGCCUUUGGCACAGGCUAAGCGCGCC
rnacentral:ribozyme from 1 species